ensembl:snRNA U4 U4 spliceosomal RNA
AGUUUUGUGCAGAGCCAGUAUUGUAGUCAAUGAACUUUAUCUGAGGUGCAAUUAUUGCUAAUUGAAAAAUUAUUGCUAAUUGAAAACAAAAUUACCAAUAUGGAAGUUUGUUUUUCAUGAUAAUACAUGCAUGAC